UGCCAUUGUGUACUCUCUGCUUUAGGGAGGCA
rnacentral:piRNA from 1 species